rnacentral:rRNA from 1 species
CAAUAGCGUAUAUUAAAGUUGUUGCAGUUAAAAAGCUCGUAGUUGGAUUUGUGGCGUACGGUGGGUUCCGGGCACUUGUUGUCUGAGUAACUUGCUGUUGCCAUCCUUGGGUGGAACCUGUGUGGCAUUAGGUUGUCGUGCAGGGGAUGCCCAUCAUUUACUGUGAAAAAAUUAGAGUGUUCAAAGCAGGCUUAUGCCGUUGAAUAUAUUAGCAUGGAAUAAUGAGAUAGGACUUUUUUGCUAUUUUGUUGGUUUGCGCAAAGAGGUAAUGAUUAAUAGGGACAGUUGGGGGUAUUCGUAUUCCAUUGUCAGAGGUGAAAUUCUUGGAUUUUUGGAAGACGAACUACUGCGAAAGCAUUUACCAAGGAUGUUUUCAUUAA